rnacentral:rRNA from 1 species
UACGUAGGUGGCAAGCGUUGUCCGGAUUUACUGGGCGUAAAGCGUGCGUAGGCGGUCCGCGAAGUCUGAUGUGAAAGCCCCGGGCUCAACCUGGGAACUGCAUUGGAAACUAACGGGCUCGAGUGUGGCAGAGGGGGGUGGAAUUCCACGUGUAGCAGUGAAAUGCGUAGAGAUGUGGAGGAACACCGAUGGCGAAGGCAGCCCCCUGGGCUAACACUGACGCUCAGGCACGAAAGCGUGGGGAGCAAACAGG